ensembl:lncRNA
ACGUUAGGACCACUGUGCCUGCUGCUUGCCAGCCUGAGGUCUAAGAGAGCUGCCUAAAGUUUAUCUCAUGAGGAAUCCACUGAAGGACUUCUUGGGGAAGAGAGUUCGAGUCAAGAUGUCCAGAAACCAGGAAAUGGGCUUCCCCUUCUGAUGCAGAAGGCAGAUGAACACAGUGAAGAUGGAUGAUGGGCAAAGAAGUCACCCACGCAACGAAAGGAACAGCCAGCUUGUAGUAAUGAGCUGCUGCUGCUUCACUGCUCACUGCGUGUCACAUGUUAUGUGCGAUGAUUUACACAGGGCCCCUCCUUACCUUUUCAACCAUUCUAGAAGAUAUCUUCUGCUUUAGGUAUCAGGGUGAUGAUGGCUUCAUAGAAAGAGUUUGGAAAUGUUCCUUCCUUGGAAAUUUUUGAAAUCGCUUGAGAAGUAUAGAUAUUAACUCUUCUCUAAAUGUUUGAAGCAACAGUUAGAACUGGACAUGGAACAACAGACCGGUUCCAAAUAGGAAAAGAAGUACGUCAAGGC